UCUCCGUAGGUGAACCUGCGGAAGGAUCAUUAAUGGAAUACAAAGUCGGUUGAUUGUGCUGGCACGCAAGUGCAUGUGCACGUCGGUCGCAAAUCCACACACCUGUGCACCUUAGACUCCGAGUGAGUGGCUGUAAUUGGUCGCACCUCGGAGUAUUUUACACACGCUGAAUGUAAAAGGAUGUUGUAGUGCUCAGCACAAAACAAAAUACAACUUUCAACAACGGAUCUCUUGGCUCUC
rnacentral:misc_RNA from 1 species